UACGUAGGGGCCGAGCGUUGUCCGGAGUUACUGGGCGUAAAGCGCGCGCAGGCGGCUCGUCAAGCCUGACGUGAAAGCCCCCGGCUCAACCGGGGAGGGUCGUCGGGGACUGGCGGGCUUGAGGUCGGCAGGGGUUGGUGGAAUUCCCGGUGUAGCGGUGAAAUGCGCAGAUAUCGGGAGGAACACCAAUGGCGAAGGCAGCUCGCUGGGACGUUACUGACGCUGAGACGCGAAAGCGUGGGGAGCAAACAGG
rnacentral:rRNA from 1 species